AGUCGAGGGGCAUCGGGGCGAGGAGCAAUCCUUGCCGCCGGCGACCGGCGCUCGGGUGAGUAACGCGUAUGCGACCUGCCCGUUGCAGGGGGAUAAUCGGGAGAAAUCCCGUCUAAUACCGCGUAACGCCGCGGGGCUGCAUGGCCCUGCGGCCAAAGGAAGCGAUUCCGGCAACGGAUGGGCAUGCGUGACAUUAGCUAGUUGGCGGGGCAACGGCCCACCAAGGCGACGAUGUCUAGGGGUUCUGAGAGGAAGGUCCCCCACACUGGUACUGAGACACGGACCAGACUCCUACGGGAGGCAGCAGUGAGGAAUAUUGGUCAAUGGGCGCGAGCCUGAACCAGCCAAGUCGCGUGAGGGAUGACGGCCCUACGGGUUGUAAACCUCUUUUGUCGGGGAGCAAAUUUCGCCACGCGUGGCGGAGUCGAGAGUACCCGAAGAAAAAGCAUCGGCUAACUCCGUGCCAGCAGCCGCGGUAAUACGGAGGAUGCGAGCGUUAUCCGGAUUUAUUGGGUUUAAAGGGUGCGUAGGCGGACUGUCAAGUCAGCGGUAAAAUACGGGGGCUCAACCUCCGCCCGCCGUUGAAACUGACGGUCUUGAGUGGGCGAGAAGUAUGCGGAAUGCGUGGUGUAGCGGUGAAAUGCAUAGAUAUCACGCAGAACUCCGAUUGCGAAGGCAGCAUACCGGCGCCCAACUGACGCUGAAGCACGAAAGCGUGGGUAUCGAACAGGAUUAGAUACCCUGGUAGUCCACGCAGUAAACGAUGAAUACUAGCUGUCCGGGGCGAAUGGGCCCUGGGUGGCACAGCGAAAGCGUUAAGUAUUC
rnacentral:rRNA from 1 species